rnacentral:rRNA from 1 species
UGCAUGUCUAAGUACAUGCCGUAUUAAGGCGAAACCGCGAAUGGCUCAUUAAAUCAGUUAUGGUUCCUUGGAUCGUACCUUACUACUUGGAUAACUGUGGCAAUUCUAGAGCUAAUACAUGCAGCAGAGCUCCGACCCUCUGGGGACGAGCGCUUUUAUUAGACCAAAACCAAUCGGACCUCGUGUCCGUAAUAUGUGGUGACUCUGUAUAACUUUGGGCUGAUCGCACGGGCUCGUCCCGGCGACGUAUCUUUCAAGUGUCUGCCUUAUCAACUGUCGAUGGUAGGUUACGCGCCUACCAUGGUCGUAACGGGUGACGGGGAAUCAGGGUUCGAUUCCGGAGAGGGAGCCUGAGAAACGGCUACCACAUCCAAGGAAGGCAGCAGGCGCGCAAAUUACCCACUCCCAGAACGGGGAGGUAGUGACGAAAAAUAACAAUACGGGACUCUUUUGAGACCCCGUAAUUGGAAUGAGUACACUCUAAAUCCUUUAACGAGGAUCAAUUGGAGGGCAAGUCUGGUGCCAGCAGCCGCGGUAAUUCCAGCUCCAAUAGCGUAUAUUAAAGUUGUUGCGGUUAAAAAGCUCGUAGUUGGAUCUCAGUUCCAGACGGGUGGUCCGCCUACCGGUGGUUACUGCCUGUUCUGAACAGCCAGCCGGUUUCCUUUGAUGAUCUUCACCGGUUGUCUUGGGUGACCGGCAAGUUUACUUUGAAAAAAUUAGAGUGCUCAAAGCAGGCGUGACGCCUGAAUAAUGGUGCAUGGAAUAAUGGAAUAGGACCUCGGUUCUAUUUUGUUGGUUUUCGGAAUACGAGGUAAUGAUUAAGAGGGACAGACGGGGGCAUUCGUAUUGCGACGCUAGAGGUGAAA